rnacentral:rRNA from 1 species
GCAUGAAGCCGGAAUCGCUAGUAAUCGCGGAUCAGAAUGCCGCGGUGAAUACGUUCCCGGGUCUUGUACACACCGCCCGUCACACCAUGGGAGUCGGAGAUGCCCGAAGUCGGUGACCCAACUGCAAAGAGGGAGCCGCCGAAGGCAGGUCCGGUAACUGGGGUGAAGUCGUAACAAGGUAAC